GCCUGGGUGGCUCAGUUGGCUGAGUGUCUGACUUUGGUUCAGGUAGCGAUCUCACAGCUUGUGAGUUCGAGCUCCUCAGGCU
rnacentral:tRNA from 1 species